CAGAGGUUGCCAGGAUGGGGCAAACAAUCCGACAAGACAAGCGCCUCAUUCUCCAGCAAGUAUCAAACACCAGGUCUGUAGUCAAUGGAUAGGAGUACGUCUCAGUUCAAGAAGUGAGAUGAGCAGCCCAGUGGCAUGAGAAUGCUGCAGCCAAAAUGAUGAUUUAAUUUUCUGCACAAAAAGGCCGCCGGCAGGGCAUAGCCAACCUUGAGUGCUCCCAGAGAACCUGAUGGAUGGAUUUGGUUUGAGCAUGACUCAGUUUUUAGAUGCUAACUUUCUAUUAUUACUCGCCCCUUGUACUGUUGUAACAUGAAUUACCUUUUUCCAACCAAAUUGCACUGUGCACAUAUCUUUUACAUGAUUUUUUUUAAUGUGUAUUUGUGAUCAUGCGAGGGUCGGAAACUUCUUGUUUGGGCAGUAACCUGCCCCGGUCACGCCCCUGACCUCUAGGUGGACAACUCCGUUGCGAGUAGGACUCAUGGAAGAGCGCGAACGAGCCGGAGAUCAAUUGUAACGCAAAACAGAAGCACCAUCCCACCUCCCCACACUAUAUAGAUAGAGUUCCCCAACUAGUUACCCAAACACGGCAUAUGCGAUCGACCUCUCGUCAUCGUUCCUCGACACCAUGGCCCAAGGCCAAGAAAGCAAGCGCACGAAGUGGGCGCUAGGCGUGAUAACGAUAGUUUUCGCGGUAGGUAUUUUCGCUCCUCUUGCGUGGUUGCUCACGAGGCCAGCCGACAAGCACGUACGAGGUGACCAUCACCAGCGUGGGCGGCCUGGAUCUCCACGGCGACCGGCAGGCGCUCAGCCCGGUGUUCGGCAUCACCCUGCACAUCGACAGCACCCGCAACAAGCUCUUCAACAAGUGCAUCGGCGGCGCCGGCUCCUCCGUGGUCGUGUCGUACGGGGACGCGCUGCUCGCCAAGGGCGCCGUGCCGGAGCUCUGCGUGCACACAUCAGGGGUGGGAGAGGUCGCGGCCGAGGCGUGGGGCUUGAACGUGCAGGUGCCUCAGUUCCUGCGGGACCGGCUGGCCGGCGAGCUAGAGAGCGGCCAGGCGGUGGUGGACGUGGCGGUGCGGACUCCCGUGGGGUGCUACAUAAACAGAUGUCUGGACGCGGUGCUUGUCUGCAAGGCCAAGAUCCAGGGGGGUUCUUCUCCGUGUUACUCUAUGUAGAGGCUAUCAGCGGCACGGGUGCAAAAACAGAUGGUUUAGAGCGUUGAUUUUUAUUUUGUUUUUGCUUAGGAUAGGAUAGCGUGAAGCCUGGAUGUGAAUUUUUGUUUUCAAUCAAGCGCUAUGUUUUAUGGUGGAUCCAAAAGUUUGUAUUUCUCUAUCAAGGAUUGUGUUUAAUAGUUGAUCUGAAUUCUGUAUUUGCAAUCAAGAACUGUGUUUUAUGUUAAGAUUAAAUUAUAAUCUGUAAUUAAGGGAAAUCUUCCCUCGCCCAUCGAAUGAGCGGUUGCGCUCGCACGGACGCCUGUGUCCGUCGCAACCGUCGCCUCUCUCCCAUCCUCCUGGAACCGACUCAUCUCUUCGGGAUCGUCGCAUCUCACAAAGGGAUAUAUAUACUCUCUGUAACCACCGAUCAAGACAAUCAAUCACUUUCGAUUCAAACACGUUAUCACGCACGUAGACAACCAGCGAGAGCGAAAGGCAACAACGAGAGGAGAACAGAGGGAGCACUCGCCGCCGAUGAGAUGCCUGGCCUUGUUUCCUUCUUUCUCCGCCUGAUCCAUGAGGACGGUCAUCGCUACCGUCGCCGCUACCAUGGCGUUGGUGGCCUCCGACGUUUCCGUCGCAGGAUGCAGGCCGUCCGCCAUUUCGGCCGUUGCGCCGCUGGCCGUUAUGGUCACCGCGCCACUGGACAUGGCGCCCGUGGUGGUCACCGCGCCGCUGGACGCGACCACGGCGUUGACGGACGCGCCGCUCCUGGUGCUCACCACGCCCCGGGACAGGGUCGCCGCGCCACAGGACACGCCCACCGCGGUGCUCCUCGCGCCCAUGGGGCUCGACCCUCGGAUGGUGGCCGGCCUGAGCGCCCCGAUGAUGAACGGGGCCGCCGCUGUGCUUGGAUCGCCCCCCCGGAUCUCCGCCUCCACCUCCACCGCCACCGGCCGCGUGGCUCCCGCCCUCGACGCCGACGCCGGCCGGCGAGGCUGUUGGCCCGAGCCGUGGCCCUCCUGGCUACGCGCCCGUCCCGAUGCGUGCCAUUGUGGAUGAAGAGGCCGCACUUGGCUUCGUGUCAGCGCCCACCGACGCCUCCGGCGUCAUCCGCCUCGGAGUAGGGAUGGAAGGUGCCGGCGUCAACUCCCCACCACCACUGGAAGCUUCUGCGGGCCCGAGCAUCCGCGCGGAGUGGCGCUUUGGCCGCCUCUUCGGGCGCGCCGUCGCCGCCCUCAACUGCCGUCCCAGCCGCCGCGCCAGCUCGUGGGCUCCGGCAAGCCUCGGACUCGCCAGCGCAGCACCAGAAGCUGCUCGCCCGGAUCACGUCGUCGUCGACUCUUCUUCGGACGAGGAGGGGUCGUCGAGGCAACGCCGGUGACCACCGGAAUUGCGAGGGCCUGUGGCAACCGCUCCUCCCGACGGUGCCGCCGUGUGAGAGAGGGGAUCGAGCAGAGGUGGUGGUGCGGGGUUCGGAUACUCCGACCCUUAUCCGAUCCACCCGCUCCCCCCGUCUCUUGUGCGGUGCGGCGGCACAUGGGCCGGCCAAAGGCCGGGCAGGCCCAGGCCCAGGCGCCCACGGUGGCUGCUGUUCCUCUCCUGUGCGGUGCUGCAACGGGUGGGCCGGCCAGAAGUGUGGAUAUUUUUUCCUCUGUUUUCUAACAUUAGUACUAAUUAUUGUAUUUGUGCAAUUUUAGACUAUGUUUAGUACUGUUUAGUACUUAGAUUGACUACUACUUACAUUUUAGUCCUGUUCUAGAUUUAUUCUAUGUUAGGACUUGUGUAAUUAUUAGUAGGUGUGUUUAUAUUAUGUAAUGGAUUGCAUAUAAAUAGAGUACCGGAGUUCUUCUGGGAAGAAUGACAUGUUCUAUGUGUUUACCACAUACCCAGUUCUCUUGAACAUGUACUUGCGAUUGAGAUCAUCUUCUCUUGCAUAUCAAACUUGCAAAUUUUUGAAUAUUUCUCCCUCCUUAUAUAUGAAUUGUAGCAUACACAAGGUAAUGGCAAUGUAGCCUAUUACUGUGAGAUCUAAGUGAUCUUCAAUGUGUUAUGUUUACACAAUUGAGGUUGAGAAUUUUUCAAGUUUUACACUUGAGCAUCAAAUUUUUGCGUUCUUAUUACAGAACCAUGAUGGUUUUAAUUUACCACCCGUAAAUUAAUUAUCUCUGGUUCCUCAUGUAGGCAAAGAUGACUGCCAAAGAGUUUGAGGAGCUUGCCCUCAAUGGACACAAUUACCCUACAUGGGCUAUGGACAUCAAGAUCAGUCUUGCGUCCCGUGGGAUAGCGCGUGCAAUACAACCCCCGAAGACUCCUCUCCUGGAUGGGGCCACGCCGCUGACAAAACAACGGAACUAUGCUGCCUUAUUCAUCAUAAGGCACCAUAUUCAUCCAGAUCUCAAGUCUGAGUAUUUACAGGAGGAAUCUCCUAGUACUCUGUUUCUGGCCCUCAAAACGAGGUAUGAACAGCAGAAGGCAGUAGUCCUGCCAGAAGCACUCCAUGAUUGGACUCAUCUCCGUCUUCAGGAUUUCAAGUCCAUUGGUGAGUACAAUCAUGCUAUUCAUAAGAUAUGUUCCAAAAUGCGCUUUUGUGAGAAGGAACCUACUGAGGGGGAGAAGAUAGAGAAAACUUUGUCUACUAUGCUUCCUUCAGAUAGGAUCCUCCAACAACAAUACCGUGCUCGUAACUACACUAUCUAUUCCGAGCUUAUUCACAUGUUACUUCAGGCUGAAAAGCAUGAUGAGCUACUUGCUAAGAAUGACUCUCAGCGCCCAGUUGGGGCACAACCUUUACCUGAAGUCCAUCUGAAUGUUGCAAAUAGACAAAAGUUUAAUGGUACCCCUCGGGGUAAACAAUCCAAUUUCGAGCAUAAGCGAAAGCGCAACAGGAACAGGAGAUCUAGAUACCCAGGCAAGGGAAAAGGCACUUCAAAGCCUAGGUUUGAUAAAUCUAAGCUUUGCAGCAAGUGUGGACGCUACACUCAUUCUACUGAAAAGUGCACAAUUCCCAAGCAUCUGGUUCUGCUGUACCGGCAAUCUCAGGGACGCAAAGCAUCUCAAGGGAAAAGGUUUGAAGCCAACUUCAACCUUCAUCUGCAUAGCGCAAAAGGAGUCGGUGAUUCACAUGAUGUUCUCCUGGACCGAGCAACACCAUGAUUCCUUAUCUGCCUGAGGAUACUGCUGAAACGGAGAACACGUUGAUUGAGUACACCGCAAACCACGUGUUUGGCGACUUCGACUAGUCCCUCAAUCUCCUAGUGAUCUACUUAAUUAUGUCCAUUUGUGAUGAUUGUAAUAAGAACAUAAGUUUGUUGUUGUCUUUAUAUUGUAUUGUAUCAGCACAUUUGAUAUAAUAAAGAUUGUAUUCUAUAUAUGACUAUGAGGUUUUCUUAUUGAAAAUACUUUGUUUUAUAUAGUUUUCUACGGGGACAAUCCGAUGGAAGAGGACUUAUGCCUUGUGGACAGUGGUACCACAAACUCCAUACCGAGGGAGAUGAAAUAUUUCCAAACUCUAAAAAAGAUGAAUGAAGAUAUUCUAACUAUUGCUUGACGCGAUACAAUGAUUGUUGGUACUGGACGUGCCAUAUUCACCCUCCCAAGCGGUACACAAGUGACGAUUGAGGAUGCUUUAUUGCAUCUCGACUCAUCACGUACCCUGAUCAGUUAUCGAGAUAUCCGUAAGAAUGGUUUUCACAUUGAAACCCAUGAAGACAACAACGAGGAGUAUCUACUCUUUACUAAAGAUGACGGAUAUGGCAAAAAGGUACAUGAGAAAAUUCCUUCUUUAUCGUCUGGUUUAUACUAUACGUACAUCAAACCCGUGGAACAUGUUGCAUACAAAGUAAUUUUUCAAAUUGUUAACGCAUUCCAAACCUGGCAUGAUCGCCUAGGCCAUCCUGGAAUAGGGAUGAUGAGAUAAAUUACUAGCAAUUCCAUUGGUCAUAAUUUGCUUGAGUCAAAAUUUCCUCAAUCUUCUGAUUUUGUGUGCACAUCUUGUGCCACGGGAAAGCUAAUUUUGAGGCCCUCACACCUCAAAAUACAAGCUGAACCACUUCAGUUCCUUGAACGUAUUUAAGGAGACAUUUGUGGUCCCAUUCAGCCAUUAUCUGGACCUUUCCGGUAUUUCAUGGUUCUGAUUGAUGCAUCUACACGAUGGUCACAUGUGUGUCUUCUAUCCACACAAAACCAUGCAUUUGCCAAGAUAAUAAGGCAAGUCAUUAAGUUGCAAGCCCAUUAUCCUGAAAGUCGAAUUAAGUCAAUUCAAAUGGAUAAUGCUGCAGAAUUCUCCUCACGUGCUUUCAAUGAUUAUUGCAUGGCUUUGGGGAUUGAAGUUCAGCACUCUGUUCCAUAUGUUCAUACACAAAAUGGUUUGGCUGAAGCAUCGAUUAAGAGGAUCAAACUCAUUGCAAGACCUUUGUUGACGAAUUGCAACUUGCCAACCUCUUGUUGGGGUCACGCUGUUUUACACGCUACUGACUUGAUACAAUUGAGGCCAACUGCAUAUCACAGUUCUUCCCCUCUGGAAUUGGUACGUGGAAAUUCUCCAAGCAUUUCCCAUCUGCGUAAGUUCAGAUGUGCUGCAUACAUCCCGAUCUCACCACCACAGCGGACAUCUAUGGGCCCACACAGGAAGUUGGGGAUAUAUGUGGGGUACAAAUCGCCGUCGAUUAUCAAGUACCUGGAACCCCUGACUGGGGAUCUGUUCACAGCCCGUCACGCUGAUUGCAUAUUUAAUGAGGAACAUUUUCCGGCAUUAGGGGGAGAUUUCAAGUACCAGAAAGAAUGCCCGGAAAUUGAUUGGAAUGCUCAUGCCAUUUCAUCCUCUGAUCCACGUACCCAAGAGACCGAACUUCAAGUUCAGAAGAUCAUUAAUUUGCAACAUCUUGCAAAUAAUCUGCCAGAUUCAUUUACUGAUUUGGAAGGUGUUACAAAGUCCUUAAACCUAACCAGAAACGCACCGGAAAGAGUGAAGGUACCAACAAAAACCACUCAACUCCCUAUUCCUAAAAAGAUGGGGAGUAGUACGGUCUCUGACCUGGAGCAUGCUUCUAGCAAGCAACAAAGGAAAUCGAGGAGAAAAACCUCAGAGUCAGUAAAUGCAGGUCAACUCAACGUUGACAAACACCUGAUGGGUAGUAUACACCCCGUGGAAUGGCAACCUCCACAACCCAGUUCUAGUGUGUACAAACUGACUGGGACAUCAGAACACCCAGACUCGAUAGUAUUGGGAAAUCACGAAGAGUCACUAGGGGUGCAGGAAAUUUCCAUCAACUAUGUUGAUUCUGGAGAAUCAUUUGACCGUAAGACUACGACUGUCGACAUAUAUUUUGCUGAAAAGAUUGCAGAUACCCUUCUCACUGAUCAUGAUCCAAGGUCUAUCGUUGGGUGCCAAAAAUGCUCCGACUGGCCUAAAUGGAAGGAUGCAAUCCAAGCAGAAAUUGCCUCGCUUAACAAAAGAAAGGUAUUCAUUGAAGCAAUACCUACACCUCCCAGUGUUUUCCCUGUGGGAUUCAAAUGGGUUUUUCUCCGGAAACGGAAUGAAAACAAUGAGGUGGUGAGAUAUAAAGUAAGGCUCGUAGCACAAGGUUUCACGCAUAAACCCGACACUGAUUUCACUGAAACAUAUUCUCCAGUGAUGAGUGCAACCACUUUCCGAUAUCUUAUAUCUCUGGCAGUGCAAAAGCGUCUAUCUAUGCAGUUGAUGGACGUCGUGACCGCAUGUCUUUACGGUCACUAGAUUCGAACAUAUAUAUGAAGGUUCCAGAUGGAAUCUCGGUCCCGAAUAAAAAUGCAAAACGCAACAUGUAUUGUGUAAAGCUGAAUAAGUCAUUAUAUGGCUUAAGGCAGUCGGGACGGAUGUGGUACAACCGACUCAGUGAUUUCCUUCUUGAGAAAGGUUACUGCAAUAGUACUGAUUGCCCAUGUGUUUUCAUCAAGAAGUCCUCUACAUGGUUUUGUAUAAUUUCUGUGUAUGUUGAUGAUCUCAACAUCAUCGGCAGCACACCAAACAUUGAUGAAGCACGCAAUCACCUAAAGAUGGAAUUUGAGAUGAAGGAUUUGGGCAAAACCAAAUUUUGCUUAGGUAUUCAACUUGAGCACCUUCCAUCAGGAAUCAUGGUACACCAAUCUGCCUAUAUCCAGAAAAUAUUGGAGAAAUUAAAUAUGGACAAAUCCUAUCCAUCCAAAACUCCCAUGGUGGUUCGAUCUUUAGACUUGGAGAAAGAUCCGUUUAGACCAAGAGAUGAUGGAGAAGAGGUGUUGGGACUUGAAGUUCCAUACCUCAGUGCCGUUGGAGCGCUUAUGUAUCUUGCAAAUUUCACACGACCUGAUAUUGCAUUUGCAGUGAAUCUACUUGCUAGACAUAGCGCAGCUCCCACCAAACGUCAUUGGUCUGGAGUGAAGAACGUCUUUCGAUAUCUCCAAGGCACAAAGGAUCUUGGUUUAUUUUUCCAGUUCCAGAAAAAUCAGGACUUUGAUAUGAUUGGAUAUGCAGAUGCCGACUAUUUGUCUGAUCCCCAUAAUGCCAGAUCUCAGACCGGCUUCAUGUUCCUACAUGGUGGUAUUGCUAUAUCAUGGAAGUCUUUGAAACAGACUCUGGUGGAAACAUCUACCAAUCAUUCUGAAAUAAUUUCAUUAUUUGAAGCAACAUGUGAAUAUGUAUGGCUUCGCAGAAUGAUAAACCAUAUACAACAGUCAUGUGGAAUUGGUUCGAUAGAAUCACCUACCAUUAUCUAUGAAGAUAAUGCGGCCAUUGUUGCGCAUCUGCAAACAGGGUACAUCAAGAGUAAUAUCACCAAGCAUAUUUCUCCUAAAUUGUUUUCCCCCCAUAAUCUUCAGAAAAGCAGGGAAAUAAGCAUUUUGCAAGUCAAAUCAUGCGACAACCUUGUUGAUUUAUUUACCAAGUCUCUACCAAAUUCUAUGUUCCAGAAAUGUGUUCAUGGAAUUGGUAUGCGAAGACUUAGGGACUUGCAGGUGUCAGGGGGAGUCUCUUCCUGAGAUAUCCUUAUUUUAAUGACAUCACAUUAUGCUAUUUUUCUUUGUGAGUAUGUGUUUCAGGAUCUCAUCAAAGAUUUUAUGAAGAACUUUUGAAGGAGAAUCUUUUGAGAUGAUAGAACUUCCCGGACAAUCGUGAAGAUGAUUCUACAUGAUCAAGCGUAGAUUAGGGGGAGUGUUAAGAUUAAAUUAUAAUCUGUAAUUAAGGGAAAUCUCCCCUUGCCCAUCGAACAAGCGGUUGCGCCCGCACGGACGCCUGUGUUCGUCGCAACCGUCGCCUCUCUCCCAUCCUCCUGGAACCGACACAUCUCUUCGGGAUCGUUGCAUCUCACCAGGGGAUAUAUAUAUACUCUUUGUAACCAUCGAUCAAGACAAUCAAUCACUUUCGAUUCAAACAUUUUACAGUGGAUCUGAAUUUUAUUCUUUCGUUCAAUAAAUGCAUGCCUUCUAUAUGUACCACCCCCUCCGUCACAUAAUGUGUGCAUUGCUAUUCGUGAAAACCGAGUAUCACAAAUUUGAUCAAGUUUUUUUUUGU
rnacentral:lncRNA from 1 species